GACGGAGGGUGCUAGCGUUGUUCGGAAUUACUGGGCGUAAAGGGCGCGUAGGUGGCCCGGUCAGUUCGUGGUGAAAGCGCGGGGCUCAACCCUGCGUCGGCCAUGAAUACUGCCGCGGCUGGAGCACUGUAGAGGCAGGCGGAAUUCCGGGUGUAGCGGUGGAAUGCGUAGAGAUCCGGAAGAACACCGGUGGCGAAGGCGGC
rnacentral:rRNA from 1 species